rnacentral:rRNA from 1 species
UGGGGAAUUUUGGACAAUGGGGGCAACCCUGAUCCAGCAACGCCGCGUGAGGGAUGAAGGUUCUCGGAUUGUAAACCUCUUUUGUGGGGGACGAAUCACUGCGUGAAGAACGCAGAAUGACGGUACUCCACGAAUAAGCCACGGCUAACUUCGUGCCAGCAGCCGCGGUAAUACGAAGGUGGCAAGCGUUACUCGGAAUUACUAGGCGUAAAGCGCAGGUAGGUGGUUUGGUAAGUCUGUUAUGAAAUCUCCCGGCUUAACUGGGAGGGGCUAAUGGAUACUGCCAGGCUCGAGUGUGGGAGAGGUAACUGGAAUUCCAGGUGUAGCGGUGAAAUGCGUAGAUAUCUGGAGGAACACCAAUGGCGAAAGCAGGUUACUGGCCCAAUACUGACACUGAGCUGCGAAAGCUAGGGGAGCAAACAGG